CCUAUGGGACGCAGCAGUGGGGAAUAUUGCACAAUGGGGGGAACCCUGAUGCAGCGACGCCGCGUGGGUGAAGGAGUACUUCGGUACGUAAAGCCCUAUCAGCAGGAAAGAAAAUGACGGUACCUGACUAAGAAGCCCCGGCUAACUACGUGCCAGCAGCCGCGGUAAUACGUAGGGGGCAAGCGUUAUCCGGAUUUAUUGGGUUUAAAGGGUGCGUAGGCGGGCUGCCAAGUCAGCGGUAAAAUUGCGGGGCUCAACCCCGUCGAGCCGUUGAAACUGGCGGUCUUGAGUGGGCGAGAAGUAUG
rnacentral:rRNA from 1 species